AGGGGCGCACAGUCCUAUGUUCCAGAACGGUACCCACCGCUGUGCCAGCAGGAGUCCCACUGAACAGCCAGACUCAAGUUCUGCUGGUUCCUGCCCCAGAAUCAACCAGCAAGUCCUGGCACUAGGACCCUGCAGACAGGGAUCCCUGAGCCUGCGCUCUUCAGGGGGAGAUGCACCAUUUCACAACUUCAGCAAAAGCCACAGCAGCCAGCAAAGCAUGGCCACCUUGGCUCUGCAGGGCCCUGCCUUUUGGACAGCUCACCAGCCACUUCCCAGAAGCAGAGGGUGCCGUCUUUUCUCUUCUUCAACCUACGUCAUCAUCUGAUCCUAACGGAAAUCAAUCUCCUCAAGUCACCACGCAAAGGCGUAUCCAUGGCAACCUCCAGAGGAAGGACACAGAUGAUGCUCCAGUGGCUGCAGCAGGAAAAGGGCUGCUGGGAAAACAGCACACAGGACAGUGCCCAGCAGGAAGUGCUCAAUCUCGGUCAGCCCUUACAAUGAGGGAUGGAUGGAGGAAGGCUACUAAACACUUCCGGUGAUUCUCGCAGGGCUGCCCUUUCCCUUCCUCUCGGCAGCUGUUCCAUGCUUCCUUGACCGCUCUCGUAUCCCUGUCCCUGCCCUUGCCCACACUCCUGACCUCCCUGGUCGACAGAUCGCUUUGUGGAGAAAGGAAACUGAGCCUAGCAGGAACCCCGUGGCCCCAUAUGUGCUCAGGGGGUGCUUUGGACGCUCCCAGGCAAGGCAGGGGCCCCUCGCAGCCCCCCGAGGAACGCGGCGGCGCAGGCACCCUGACCCCGGGCCGAGCUCAGGCCGGCCCGACAUGAGAAGUGCGCGCCGAGCGCAGCAGAUGAGACAUCCAUCAGGCACAAAGUUGGACACCUGGGGCGGGAUUUGCGCACGCGCACUGUACGCGGGGCGGCGAUGAGGACCGCAGGAGAGGUGGGCUGCGGCGAGCGCCCUCUAUCGGCGGAAAGAAAACAGCGCAAAAGAACCGAAGGACGGGUUCGUUCCCCGGGGUGGCUAAGGUUUUGAACACUAAACUGUAACUAAAGCAGUAGUGAUCAACUGUAUCCCGUCGGUUAGCUUGUGGGAGAAUAAAUGUUGCUGCUACUCAAUCUCAUUCAUCAAGUGGAGAAAGAGGAAUUCUCACGCACCGCUGAUAGAUUGUAAAAAUAACGCAAAUUUACACCAGGGCAUUUUCUUUUUAAUUAAAAUUAAACAAAGGUGCAAAUUUCUUGACAUAAUGUGCCCGCUUCCAAUAAUAUAGUCUGAGGAAAUAAACGCACAGUCAUGCAAA